rnacentral:rRNA from 1 species
GACGAACGCUGGCGGCGUGCUUAACACAUGCAAGUCGAACGGUAAGGCCCUUCGGGGUACACGAGUGGCGAACGGGUGAGUAACACGUGGGUGAUCUGCCCUGCACUUCGGGAUAAGCCUGGGAAACUGGGUCUAAUACCGGAUAGGACUCCUGGCUUCAUGGUUGGGGGUGGAAAGCUUUUGCGUUGUGGGAUGGGCCCGCGGCCUAUCAGCUUGUUGGUGGGGUAAUGGCCUACCAAGGCGACGACGGGUAGCCGGCCUGAGAGGGUGACCGGCCCCACUGGGACUUGGAUACGGCCCAGACUCCUACGGGAGGCAGCAGUGGGGAAUAUUGCACAAUGGGCGCAAGCCUGAUGCAGCGACGCCGCGUGAGGGAUGACGGCCUUCGGGUUGUAAACCUCUUUCAGCACCGACGAAGCGCAAGUGACGGUAGGUGCAGAAGAAGGACCGGCCAACUACGUGCCAGCCGCCGCCGUAA